UACGGAGGGUGCAAGCGUUAUCCGGAUUCACUGGGUUUAAAGGGUGCGUAGGAGGGCAGGUAAGUCAGUGGUGAAAUCUCCGAGCUUAACUUGGAAACUGCCGUUGAUACUAUCUGUCUUGAAUAUUGUGGAGGUAAGCGGAAUAUGUCAUGUAGCGGUGAAAUGCUUAGAUAUGACAUAGAACACCAAUUGCGAAGGCAGCUUGCUACACAAUCAUUGACUCUGAUGCACGAAAGCGUGGGGAUCAAACAGG
rnacentral:rRNA from 1 species